rnacentral:lncRNA from 10 species
AGUUGCACGGUGGCCGCCCCCAAAUUCGAGGAGGAAGGUGCAAAGUGGUGGGAGGCUGCGGGUCUCCCGGAGGGUGAGGCGUUGGGGACCAGGCGGGAGCACAGCCGAACCCCUACCUUUCGGGCGGGGCGGACACCAGCCGCGCGCCCUCGCCGGGCGCCGGGACCGGAAAAUCACCGCGAAGGGAGGGACGAGGAAAGGCGGCGGGUGGCUUCAGGACAAGGACUUUGUGAUUACAUUGGGCCCAUCCAGAUCAUCCAGGAUCAUCUUCCCAUCUCAAGAUUCUUCACUUAAUCACAUCUGCAAAAUUCCUUUUGCUGUGUAAGCUGUGAGAUAUCGGUGGGCGAGGAUGUGAUGCCUGAAGAUGUGGCAUCUACCUUGAAACAGUCAAGGACCUGAGGAUGAAGCCAGCAUCUGAGGAAGACAGACAGAAAGGAUCUGGAUACAUCAUGAGCCUGAAAAGUAUCUUGCAUACACAACUGGCAGCACAGAAUCCUGACAAACCUCUCAUCAGAAAUCAACCACAGACUCUUUAUGCUCUUACCAAAAUGCUGGCUUUGAGAACUAAUUAUGAAUGAAAAUUACUGAUGUGAUUUUCAGUCUAGGGAAGAAUAUCAAGUUAAACUUUAUGAAGUCCAAGACAAUGGGAAAAGAAGAGGUGUUCCUGUCCAGGCCCUCUUCCAGUUAGAAGGUGAUGGUUUCCAGAAGUCUGCACCUGUAUUUCAAUUACCUAUAAUGGAGUUUAUAGGACUAAACUAUAUUCACUAUA